CUGCUCGCUUCAGCAGCACAUAUACUAAAAUUGGAAUGAUACAUAGAAGAUUAGCAUGGCCCCUGUGCAAGGAUGAUAUGCAAAUUUGUGAAGAAAAGACCAGAACU